AAGGAAGGAAGGGGAAAGGGAAGAUCUGGAAUGUUAGGGUAGCUGACUUAAUUCAGUAGCAUUCUUAGUAUAGCUGUAAGUGGUGUAAUUAUGUUUUACAAUGAUCCUAUUUGAAACAUAACUCCUGUUACACCACUAAGUUUCUGUUAUACAGCAAUUAUACAAUAAAAAGUACUACCCAUAUUAUAGUAUUGUGUUUUGGGGGGGACACUAAAAGAUUUGAGAGAGAGAUUGUCAAACGUAAAGUCACUUUUGGGGGGUUUAAAACUUAACUGAAAAAUUAAUGCUUCAUCAUAACAUUUAAGCUAUAUCUAGAAAGUAGACUGGAGAACUGAGAAAAUUACCCAGAUAAUUCAAUGCAAAAUAUAUACAUAAAUACCCCUAUGUGUGAACUCAGAAAAUUCUGAGAAACUUAUCAAAGCCAACCGUCUAUACUGAUCAAAUUUACUGAAUAAUUGUUAAUUUAUCCAUUGUGCUUAGCUUUGUGACACAGCCAAAAGUUACCUAUUUAAUCUUUUCAAUAAAAAUUGUUUUUUGAAAUUCAGAAAUGAUUUAAAAAGAGGUCAGGUUUUUAACUAUUUAUUGAAGUAUGUGGAUGUACAGUAUUUCAAUAGAUAUGAAUAUGAAUAAAUGGUAUGCCUUAAGAUCCUUUGAAUAUGUAUUUACUUUAAAGACUGGAAAAAGCUCUUCCUGUCUUUUAGUAAAACAUCCAUAUUUCAUAAUCUUAUGUAAAAUAUGUUGUACUGUUUCCAAUAGGUGAAUAUAAAGUCAGUUUAUCAAUUAAAAUAUGUAUUUGACUCAUUUUAAAACUCUAUUAGUUUAAGAGAAAAAGGAAGAAAUAAUAAUUUAAACAUAUUUCUGCUAUUCCCUACUUAAUUUUCUGCUGCAUCCACGAUACCACAUUCACACCUUUUAGGUAUGCCAAAGUAAUACAGGUUGAAAAUUUAAGAUGCCUCAAUUUCAAAGAGCUCGACAUUGUAGCCUUUCUCUCUGUUGCUGAUUCCCAAAAGGUUUGACAAGCUGAACUACAUCUAGCCCAAAGAAGUUUCCAGGAGAGAUUUUAUUAUCAAUUAUUUAGAAGUUUUACCUGCUGAAAAGCAGCAGAGUUAGCAAGAAAGGCUGAUGAUAAAAUCCUGAUGGUUUUACAGGAUAUGCAUCUGAAAACUCAAAUGCCUAUCAGACUCAGGCAAAUAGUAUGCUUUCAUAAGACAGCUGGGUAUAAAACAGGGUGUAUAUACUCCACCUCUAGGCAUUCCAGUACAAUUUCCUUAAAAAUACCUUGCUUUCCAAACAAAGUAAUUUGGCUGAGAGCCCUUAGUUUGUGACUGCUAUAAUAUGCAAAAGUGAGCCACCCCAAAUGAAUGAUUUCAGCCCUCUUCUUCAGAUCUGUCCAUUGAUGAUGGCCGACCACGUAAAAAGGAACAAUGUGCAUUCUGCAAAGGACCUGCCAAAUUUUGGAUAAUCCACCAAGACUAUUUCCCAGGCAUCUGCAAUCAACAAAAUUCUUAGGGAAAUGUAAAUCAGAAUACAUACACAAAUUUUUUUAAAAUACACAAUAGAAUACUGAUUUUAAUCUUGAGUGAUGUUGUUUGAGCCAAUUUAUAUCAAAAUACUAAUUAUAUGCACAUCUGUUUGUGCUGGGGCAGUAGAAGAAGAGGGAGAUUCUAAUUCUAGCAAUUAAACUAUAUACAACCUAAGGAAUACAUUUGUACUUUGUUGUCAAAAUAUAAUGCAAAUCCUGUGGACGUGACUUUUUAAUUUGAAAAAAAAGAAAACCAUAACUUUGAUAUAUAUAUAAAUGAACACAUUAAUUCAUUAAUGAAGGACCAAGUAAGAGGUUACAACCAGAUAAAAGAACAAUCCAAAGAAGAGACAUAUUUAUGGGUGAAGAAUAUUGAAAUUAAUGUAUUACUGGAGGCAAAAUUGACUUCUUCCAAAGUAAGAAAUUCAACUGAAUCUCUAACCAACAGAUUUAUUUACACAUCUAUAGACAAGAAAUAUUCUGCCUCGGUAUCACUUAUCUACAACUUGUAAAAUAAUUCAAAUGCAAUGAAAGGUAUGGGGCUCCCAUAGAAUCAAAAUCAGAUAACUUGGAGGGUAUGCUCCAACCAAUGUGUGGGUUUUUCAUUGCAGGACAAAGUUUUGCCUGAAAUGAUGAGAUGUAAAAAUCUUAAAAGAUGUUUCAUUAAAUGAAUUACUAAUAUUUUGAGGUUCAAUAAUAUAAUCUCUAUUGUAAUGACUCAUAAAAAUCCCCAAGUUUAUCUACAUAUCUAAUAUUCUACAUUCUCUGUAUUUUAAUUAUUUCAUUUUCUUCCUUAUCCCACAAACCAUUGCCCAUAGUUUGGGACAUAUAGGAAGAGAAGUAAAAAAUUAAAACAUAACAAGAACCACCUUGCUUCAAGAAUCUACUUUGGGCCAGCCCCAGUGUCCUAGUGGGUCAGUUCAGUGCACUCUUCAGCAGCCAAGGCCUGGUUCCUGGGUGUGAACUUACACCACUCGUCUGUCAGUGGCCAUGCUGUGGCAGUGGCUCACAUACAAAAACAGGAGGAUUGGCAGCAGAUGUUAUCUCAGGGCAACUCUUCCUCAGCAAAAAAAAUUUUUAAAAAAAUCUACUUUGUUGAAAAAUUAAUGUAUUUUGAACAUUUGUUAACAGAAAAAAAUCUUUUUGUCCCUUAGGAGGAGGGCUAUUUAAUUCAUGGGAUAAUAGGAAUUUUUCAUCAACAAUGAGAAAAAUGAAGUAACAGUUGAGAUAGCAAUAUUUUGUCAACCAAAUGCAAUGGUAAUGGUGAAAACAUUGCAAGAAGCUGUAGCAUAAGCUGAAUGGUCUGCUUCCACUUAGUGCUAAUGAGCCCAGUCCUUGCACAAAUUUUGGUUUGGUAAAAACUACAGGAGGUAGCAUGGUUCAUUAGGCUUUCAAAGCUUUAAAAUGUUAAAGGGGGUGGUUUUCUUCCUUCAUUUCAAGUGAAUUGCUGAAAGCAUUGGGAUAUUCCUAAGUGGAACUUUGAAUUUGCUAGUUUCUUCAUUAAUUUUGACCUUUUUAUGUUUAAAAAAGUUAACUCUACACUAUACCGCAGCAGACUUCUACCUCUUGCAGUUUUGGAUUGUGCUUAAAUGAGUACUCCAAGCACGUGAAAUUUCCUGAGAAUACUGGGGGACCAUAUUUUAGAAAAAGAACUCGUGAAAUAUUCUUUGGAGAACAUAAUAUGCAAAUAAUGAAGAGCAAAGCUUUCUUGACCGUUCUCAAGCACCUAAUAGGAUCCACAGAACUCUUACAUGGUUUUCUAAGUAGUUUCAUAAAUAUAGACUGUGGCUGCAGGAAACUUCCCACCUCCCUACCGUGCAUUUGACAAAUGACCUGACAAACGCAUGGUCAAUAGCUCAUUUUUGACGUGCUCCUUAAGAAAUUGUUGCCAGAGAUUUGAAACUGCUUCAAGCUGAUAUCUUUUGAAACAAAACACACACACACACACACACACACACAAAAUUGCUCUGCUAUCAGUGAUCUGGAAAAUAAGCUUGCAAGCCAGCCAUGUGGUGUUCUGGAUAACUCAAAAAAAAAGAGAAGAAGAAGAAAUGACAACAGUGCAGCCAAGUUUCUGUUUAAGUUUCAUUUGCUAAGAUUUCAGCAUAAGUAACAUCUUGUGAUAUAAUUAAUCAGAAGAUGGCACCUGCUUUAAAUGCUGACGUGGAGAAAAGCAGAUUUUUUAAAAAUUUGGAACAAAAUUAUUUCUGGAAAUAUAUCUUUCCUGUUGAUAGAUAACUAGUUUAUGCUUUUGAUAAUCUUACUGUCUAGUAAUUUUAAAUGAUGAUGAAGAGAAAGAC
rnacentral:lncRNA from 1 species